rnacentral:snRNA from 13 species
AUACUUACCUGGACGGGGUCGAUGGAUGAUCUGGAAGAUCCAUAGCCUAGGGUAGUGACCUUCAUUGCACUUGGGAGGGGUGCUGUCCUAAGGUCUCCUCAAGUGGGAGAGCCUACGUCAUAAUUUGUGGUAGUGGGGGCCUGCGUUCGCGCGGCCCUAAC